rnacentral:misc_RNA from 1 species
GCGUGUAGUGCCGAGUCGGUAAGUCGGGAAGUAUGGGGCAUACUGUCCCCAUGGUUGACAGUCCUUUAUGUAAUUUUUAGUUACUGGUCGGGUCAACGUUUCCACCUAUCUACUUCCAUCGUGUGUCCAUCUCUUUAUAGAUAUCAGUAUCAUAGACAAAAAAAAGCAAAAAAUAUUAGAUACAUCAGCCCAGCCGCAGGCUGUCAACAAGUGUGAUUGAUGUUGGGAAUUGUAAACAAUACCCUGAUACCAUCAUCAUCAUCAUUUUUAAUUCAAAUAUAUUGACAGUUCUGCUUCUGCGGAUAACGGGACACGUGAUCAAACCUUGUUGCAUUUAGAUGGAUUGUCCAAUGUUAAUUGGCAAUUUGAGAAAGCCAAGAAUUUAUUGGUAUCAGACGGAUGCGGAAAUCGUGAUUCGUAUAAUGCUUCACGACGUGGACGAUUACUUUCUUAGCGUAAGAACAGACGAGUUUGAAUUCAGCACGUCUGUAGACGGCGUCGAUUACUAUAUUUACCUGCAUCUUUUUGGUGCAAUCACUGCCGAGAAAACUAUCCAUAAAACAACUGGAAGAGAAGUCACAGUUUACCUUCCAAAAGUUCAAAAGUGGACUCCCUGGCCAAGGUUAAUUUAUUCAAGCAAAGCAUGUCCACAUAUUUUUGUGGACCUUGAUCACCUUGCCUCAAUCAAACCCAAAAAAGAGAUUGAUUGGAAUGAGAGAGAAGACUUUGCUACCUUCAAACGAAGACAUAAUAUAUCCUAUAUAAGGCCAGAUGUACCAUCUUCGGAUGAAGAUGAAUCUGCUGGAGAGGAAAACAAUAUGAUUUUCGAUUUUUAACAUCUCUUGAAGUGGAUUAAUAGAACUAGGUUCCAAAUCUCAUUCUAAUGAGGUGUGAAGAGCAAUCUACUUGGAUUCAUUGAAGCAAACUAUUAAAAGGUACCAAAGUGUAAUUAACGAAUUUCCAUGGGUAAAUGAAAUGUUUCAUUAAUUACCUAGCUAAAUUCUUUUACUUGUAUAUGACGUUCGGCUGUUACUAAUACAGCAAAGCUUUAUUUACAGUUCACAGUUAUAUCUAACCUAUACGUUUUCUGAUCGAUCUGAGGUUAUUAGGGGGGAAUUAGUAGCCGGCGGACUCAACUUCUUUCAAAUAGAAUAAUGUGGUAAAUUUUAACACUUAUAAUCUUAUCCUGUCAACAUUGUCAUACCUUACCUUUAUUAACUUAGGGUGGCUGUUCAUUAAUUGUGGCCACCAGCUUCAGCCCGAUGAAUUGUGAAACUCUGAAACCGUUAUAAAUUAGGUAGAUUCGGUCAACUUUCGGCCUUUCUUUUCUCCGAGUUAAUUUGUGAUAUUCUCUGUUCAUCCCGUAAGUAAGAUUUUUUACCUAGUUAAAAGUUAAGAAUACAGCCCAGCUGUUGUAUUUUUUUUUUUUUUUUUUUUACAUUGUUUCUACGAAUAAAUGAAAAUUAUUAUCAAUAGCUGUAUGCAUGGUAGGCUUGCCCAUAAAUUACGUGAUGUGAGUUUUUACGACCCCCCCCCCCCCCCCCCCCCUCGCCCGUUCAAAAUUGGAGAAUUUAUCUCAAAUCAUUAUAAUUGGAGGUUGAGAAAUUGGAAGUUUUAAUGGAUUUUAUAGACAAGAAACAUGUGUAUGUGUGGUAAUAUCAGUGACAUGAUCAGCACACACAUGAGUUUUCAGAACGAAAAGUUUUAUUGGACCGUUCACCUAUAAUAUUGUGUAAUAGCUGUGGCACGUCGAUCUGGCCAAAUGUGAUACACAACGUGUCAGAUAAAUUACGCAAAAUAAAACUUGUGACGAAUGUUUUUAAUCUGUGAUCUAAAAAAGUGUAUCGAUGCAAGAAGACAUUGCUAUCAGUGAAUCGACAAUGAAAAUAACUAAGAAAACAGAUAAGGGACAAUAAUACCAGAGACGCUUAUCUUAUAAACAAUUUAAUCCAAGAAAACUAGUUAGAUAUGGUAUUAAAUUUUAUAAAUUAUGUGAUUCAGAAUCGGGUUAUUGCUGUGACUCUAAAAAAAUACUCAGGUAGUGAUAAAAUAAAUUCUAAUGACAGUGAUUCUGAAAAUGUUGUUAAAGAGCUAUCACAGUCAGUGUUACGUAAAGGACAUAUUUUAUACUUAGACAAUUGGUACACUGCACCAAAACUGGUUAUAACUAAUUAACAGUAAAACUAAUGCUGUCGGAACAGUAGAUUUGAACAGAAAGAAUAUGCCAAAUGAUUUGGUUGAAGCAAAAUUAAAAAAAGAAGAAUGCAGAACGAAAAGCUGCAAUGGAAUACUGACAUAAAAAUAUAAAUAUAAACGAGACAUUUAUAUUAUUUCUACGAAACACGAAACAGCAGAAAUGGCUGCAUAAGGCAAAAAUCAAUUCAAUCCUACUUCAAAACCAAAAGGUGUCAUUGAGUACAACAAAGGAAUGAUUGGACUUGAUCGACAAGACCAAAUGCUAGUGUGCUUCUCUGUUAUGAAGGAAUAUGCAAAAGGAUACUGAACAGUUUUUUUUUACAUGCUUGAUAUUGAACUUUUGAACUCUUACAUUUUGUCCAACAAAGUAAAUACUAGAGAAAAACAGAGCCACUCAUGCUAAGUAUGAAAUUGAAAUAGUCGAGUCAUUAAUGAAAAAUGUGCCGUUACCAGAAUAUAAACGAUGAGGGUGAUUUUUGAAUGGAGUUUUACCCCAGAGACUCCACACGCAACAUUGGGGUCAUUUUUUCAAGAAUAUAGACCCAACACCAUCGAAAACAAAGCCAUAAAGAGCCUGUAAAGUUUGUACAAGAUAUAAGUAAAAAAACGUAGCGAAACAACAUAGGAGUGCAAAAGAUUUAAAGUUACAUUGGAUGUACCAAUAUGCUUCGAAAGUUACCAUACAAUUGAAGCUUAAUAACUUUCUGUUACAUGUUUUUUAAAAUGUUUAUAAUUUAAUAUAAGCAUUUAUUCAGGAAUUUAAAUAAAAUGUUGUUGAUUUAUUAAUCUUUCUUUUUCACUGAUGAAUUGUUUGUAAUUAUUUAUCAAACACCUUAAGAAAUUAAACCGGUUGUAUCUUACACAUGUUUACAUAUCAUGAGACGUAUGCAAUUGGCAUAACUUCGAACAUUUAUCCAAACUGUAAAAUGGCUCAACGUGCAACCGACCUUGCUGUUUAUUAUAGCAUAGGCGAUCAGAACUUAAAUUGUAGGGCAAGGGGUUAAAUAUCGAUUUGAUUGAAAUGUUUACAUGCCUGUAUAUCAGGCGGAACUGCACAUCAUGAACCACCCGCUUUACUCUUUGCCUUCAUCCUUUUGCACAACUCGAGGAACGCUUGAUUUUUCAAUAAUUUGAAUCUUUUGUCAGUAGAACUAGAUGCAUAUUGUGCAUUCUCUGAAAGCAACGCUAAUUAUAGAGAACCCUUAAUUUGCUGUUCUCGUUGAUCUGUUCAGUCUCAUGAUGGCGAAAGGGUUAAAAUAUUGGGUGAUACACGUAUUUAGGUAUCAUUGCUACUACAUCAAAUAGAAAUAAAAUCUGGAAUGUUGAAAUUGUCUGUUCGAUUAAAAUCUAACGUCAUUGCAUGUGAAAUCUCAUGCAAAGAAUAGUGAUGAAAAAUAAAUCAACCUAGGGCGAUCUUUGUUUAAAAAAAAAGGAAAAAGUACAAAAGUGUAUUUUGUAAUAUAAAGUCAAGAUUUUGCCGUACGCGUGAUUCAAUCAUGUUCGUACGAAUUACGUAUGUACAUACGAUUUACUCAGACCUAUAUACAUCUAUGCACGUAUUAAUUAUACGCGUUGAAUAGAAAUUGAGAUAUUAAUCAGUUUGAUGCGCUUUGUGUGAAAUAUUAUUAGUAUUUUACAGAAUAUCGUCUGCUUCGUUUUUGACUAUUAUUUACAAGAUUAAAGCGAACUCUACGCAGUUUACUUGUCUUACAAAUCACCUGCAGACUAGUCGGCACCUUGCUUAAUUCACCAGCACUCUGUACAUCACGAAUAAAACGAUAAUGAAAUUUUCUUCCUUCGUUCUGAAAUAGUGAAUCUUUUAGCGUACCCACAGCAACGAACGGCAAUCACCGUCGAAUUAAUUAUUGCUACAUAAAGCUAACGAGAAGAACGGCACAGAUCAUAUCUACCACUGUCUACGAAUUCGUCUAUACCUUAGAUGUACGUAAAUUUGAACACACGGUUAAACGUUUACGGGUAAAGCGAAUUACCCGUUAAUCGUAUAGUCGUUGUACCUUCACUAUUAAGGCGGUCAGCCCAGUUAUUUGAACGAUAACUCGUUCCGGUUAGUCUAAUCAAUUACAAAUGUUAAAUUUCUAUAAUACAGCAUUUUUUAACAACCUUCCAGUGAAAGUCUUUGAUUUAUGUUUCCCACCCUAGUUUUUAUUUCCUUGAGGAUGUCCUCGGCCAGCUCAUCGACCGUGGUAUAG